CCUACGGGGGGCUGCAGUGGGGAAUAUUGCACAAUGGGGGAAACCCUGAUGCAGCGACGCCGCGUGAGUGAAGAAUUAUUUCGGUAUGUAAAGCUCUUUCAGCAGGGAAGAAAAUGACGGUACCUGACCAAGAAGCCCCGGCUAACUACGUGCCAGCCGCCGCGGUAAUACGUAGGGGGCAAGCGUUAUCCGGAUUUACUGGGUGUAAAGGGAGCGUAGACGGCAGGGCAAGUCUGGAGUGAAAGGCGGGGGCUCAACCCCCGGACUGCUCUGGAAACUGCCAGGCUGGAGUGCAGGAGAGGUAAGGGGAAUUCCUAGUGUAGCGGUGAAAUGCGUAGAUAUUAGGAGGAACACCAGUGGCGAAGGCGGCUUACUGGACUGUAACUGACGUUGAGGCUCGAAAGCGUGGGGAGCAAACAGGAUUAGAUACACGGGUAGUC
rnacentral:rRNA from 1 species